AGAAUAUAGAAAACAAAAUGGCAGAAAUGCAAAGCCGGUUCUGGAACAAAACGAAACAAUUCGGGAUUUUUAUCCUAUGACAAUGGCUUAGUCACUCCAGAUCUCUACAAUAUAGAAUCCUCUAUAAUUGUGAAUGUGGUUUUAUGAGUUUUAACUGUUAGACAUGGCCGCAUUAUCCUGGAAAGUUUGCAAAUAGAUGUUUCCCCGGGACAAGCAGGUACGAAUUAUGGCUUGACUUUGCUAUGAGUGCUCCAUAUUGGCCAUGCAGCUGACUGUCAAGAAGCAGAAUGUCCUUUCCCAACAAAGCCAGUGGAGAGGCUAUUGAUAAUGACUACAGCAGCUAAAUUUGAUUCACAGACAAGUCUUUGUUAAUAGAAUGCUAAAGAUGCCUGGGGAACUGCAUCAUUAUUGUUUGUGAAUUCAAGAUUAAAUGGAUCCUCUGUUAUGCUGUACCCUGCUAGCAGAGCUUCCUUCCUGUUUGUUUCUAUAAGUUCACUUAUCUGUGUUGCUAAUCUGUUUUUACGAGUUAUUGUUCAUUUGUGACGGCAGGAGAAACCUCUGCAGACAGCCGCUUUCGAAUCAUGUUGGCAUGCGCGAAAUUAUUUUUGCUGCAACCAUGGAAAUUCUCGUCACAUAAAGCUGUAUUUUGAAAUUCCCAGCCGCAGCGACUCUGAUUUCUGUCACACAAAAGCGCUCACGCUUGAGCUCAGUAGCACAUUCCUAGCUAAAAGCAGUUAAAUUUGAUUUUUGCUAUAAAUAUGGCUAUCAAACAAGACCAGAAGACCGAUACUCCAGAGUUUUGAAAUACUACAUGAAUAUGAACAAAGCCAGGUAAGCACUGACAGGUUCAAUUAGAAACAUGUGUCGAUCAGGAGCUUCGAACGUCUGCACUCUUGAUUAACUGUAAUAACAGCGGAAGACAACUUCUUUAGACUAGUCUAACAAUUCAUUCUUAUUUUGUUUAUUAUGUAUGUUGUUAUUUGUGAGCAUUCUCAUUAAAAGUUCUGGAAAUCUGA